UCCUGGCUUAGGACGAACGCUGGCGGCGUGCCUAACACAUGCAAGUCGAACGGAAAUACGAUUCGGUUGUAUUUAGUGGCGAACGGGUGAGUAACGCGUGAGCAACCUGACCUUCAGAGGGGGAUAACAUUUGGAAACAGAUGCUAAUACCGCAUAAGACCACGACCCGACAUCGGGAUGAGGUCAAAGGAGUAAUCCGCUGAGGGAGGGGCUCGCGUCCCAUUAGAUAGAUGGCGGGGUAACGGCCCACCAUGUCGACGAUGGGUAGCCGAGCUGAGAGGCUGAUCGGCCACACUGGAACUGAGACACGGUCCAGACUCCUACGGGAGGCAGCAGUGGGGAAUAUUGGGCAAUGGGCGCAAGCCCUGACCCAGCAACGCCGCGUGAGGGAAGAAGGCUUUCGGGUUGUAAACCUCUAUCCUUGGUGACGAAACAAAUGACGGUAGCCAGGAAGGAAGCCCCGGCUAACUACGUGCCAGCCGCAGC
rnacentral:rRNA from 1 species